rnacentral:misc_RNA from 1 species
AUACACUAUCGUCUACUUACACACGACCCGUCGCAUAUCAUCGCCGGUACGGUCACCGGAGUUGAAAAUAUCUUCUCGUCUUUCAGGAAAACUAAGGAACCAUGGGGAUCGUAGAAAGGAUUAAAGAAAUAGAAGCUGAGAUGGCUCGUACACAAAGGAAUAAAGCAACUGAGUAUCAUCUUGGUCAGCUGAAGGCCAAGAUAGCAAAGCUGAGGACACAACUGCUGGAACCCCCUAAAGGUUCCAGUGGAGCUGGAGAGGGUUUUGAAGUCACAAAGUAUGGCCAUGGACGUGUUGCACUAAUAGGAUUUCCAAGUGUUGGAAAGUCAACACUCCUAACGAUGCUGACAGGAACACAU